rnacentral:lncRNA from 1 species
UCUUAUCAGAUAAAAGUUGUAUAUAUAAAUCAUCUUACCAAAGAAAAGUCUUUCGUGUCGUAAGAAAAUCAAAGAAAUACAUUCUUCGUUUGGUGACGACAAAAGAGCUACAGACCUCGAAAAGGUAGAAUACUAGCCAACAUUAUCAUAUGCAUGUAAUUUUGUAGGGCUGUGUGUGUGAUAAGUUUUUUAUUCUUUUUUUUUUUUUGCUAAAAUAAGUUUUAUAUUUUUUCACGGAGGGAUCAAUGUUUCUGCCGAGUUUGUUCAUAGUUCAUCCUGAUAUUGACAAUCGGUUGUAGUGGAGAAUUCCAAAAAAUUUCAGCCUUAUUUUAUAACCCAAUUUCUAAUAUAAGCAUAUCAUUUCUAUCAAAGUAUAUAUAGCACAAACGACAUUCUAAAAAUUUGUUAGUAUGGUAAACUAAAUGCCUUUCGGUAUAAUGUACCUACAGAACAACACUUAAAAAGAAAAUAGAAAAAUUUAAAGUUGACAAUUAUGACUAAUACUGAUACUAAUACUUGGAUCACAUUCGAGGGAAACUGAAUUCCAGUAGUAAGUUGCCACGUAGCAAUCUUACCC